AGUGAACGCUGGCGGUAGGCCUAACACAUGCAAGUCGAACGGCAGCACAGUAAGAGCUUGCUCUUACGGGUGGCGAGUGGCGGACGGGUGAGGAAUACAUCGGAAUCUACUUUUUCGUGGGGGAUAACGUAGGGAAACUUACGCUAAUACCGCAUACGACCUACGGGUGAAAGCAGGGGAUCUUCGUACCUUGCGCGAUUGAAUGAGCCGAUGUCGGAUUAGCUAGUUGGCGGGGUAAAGGCCCACCAAGGCGACGAUCCGUAGCUGGUCUGAGAGGAUGAUCAGCAACACUGGAACUGAGACACGGUCCAGACUCCUACGGGAGGCAGCAGUGGGGAAUAUUGGACAAUGGGCGCAAGCCUGAUCCAGCCAUACCGCGUGGGUGAAGAAGGCCUUCGGGUUGUAAAGCCCUUUUGUUGGGAAAGAAAAGCAGCAGGUUAAUACCCCGCUGUUCUGACGGUACCCAAAGAAUAAGCACCGGCUAACUUCGUG
rnacentral:rRNA from 1 species